rnacentral:hammerhead_ribozyme from 1 species
AUUCACCUGACGAGUCUCAAAUAGGACGAAACGCGCAUCCUGGAU